rnacentral:lncRNA from 1 species
AUGCCUGUCAACAGCACUGCUGUGUCCUGGACCAGUGUUACCUACAUCACUGUGGAGAUUCUCAUCGGGCUCUGCGCCAUAGUGGGCAACGUGCUGGUCAUCUGGGUGGUCAAGCUGAACCCCAGCCUGCAGACCACCACCUUCUAUUUCAUUGUCUCCCUAGCCCUGGCUGACAUUGCUGUCGGGGUGCUGGUUAUGCCUCUGGCCAUUGUCAUCAGCCUGGGUGUCACAAUCCACUUUUAUAGCUGCCUUUUCAUGACCUGCUUGAUGCUGAUAUUCACCCACGCAUCCAUCAUGUCCUUGCUAGCCAUUGCUGUGGACCGAUACCUGCGGGUCAAGCUCACAGUCAGAUCCAGGAUUCCUAAGGCCCCUGGGUCCAUCUGGUCAUCCCAGUUGAAGAUUCACUUCUUUCCAGUCAUGAGGCUCUUCAUUCUGCUCUCUUUGACUGUCUUUUCAGAUGCCAUGGUCAUGGACGAGAAGGUCAAGGAAAGCUUUGUGCUGGACACAGCUUCCGCCAUCUGCAACUACGACACCCACUAUAAAGACCACCCCAAGUACUGGUGCCGAGGCUAUUUCCGGGACUACUGCGACAUCAUCGCCUUCACACCCAACAGCACCGACCGCGUGGCCCUGAGGGACACAGGAAGCCAACUCAUUGUCACUGUGUCCUGCCUGACCAAGGAGGACACAGGCUGGUACUGGUGUGGCAUCCAGCGUGACUUUGCCAGAGAUGACAUGGACUUUACAGAGCUGGUUGUGACCGAUGACAGAAGAGCCAUCACCGACAAUUUCUGGUCCGGGCAAGACCUAUCGGGCAACAAGAACAGAAGCUGCAGGGCUUCCAAGGUUGUCCACAAGGCAGAUCACUCCAGGAUGUUCAUUCUCAUCAUUUGCAUACUGAUCACGGGCUUAGCGCUCAUCUCCAUAUUCAGUCGUUUGUCCCGAAGGAGGAGAAACCAAAGGAACAGAACGGGUAAAGGCCUAACGAGAAACCAGAAAACCAGCCAAGCUUCUGCAAGCCCCACGCCGCUGAAGCCACAGAAAUACCUUGGGCAAUGGAGACACUGUGGGCAUAACUAUAAAACAGACUCCAACCUCCUCUGAGUAUGGAAAUGUAGAAAACAACAUUUCAGAGAACGAGAGAACACAAAGAAACCAGAAGCAUCUGUUGAUGAAACACAAGACAAAUCUGAAACCCAAAGCUUGGUGCUAACUUGGCUGUGGGGCCAGAGCAGGAGCUCUAAGGAUUCAAAGCAGUGGCUCCCAUAGCAUUCCUGGCUUUUUGCCACCUAAGAGCUGUGGAGGUGUGGGAUAUAGACAAAGCAACAUCUUGCUUGGUUUUGCCAAAGAUCACACCUUUUGGGGGGCUUCCCAGGGGUCUUAGUAAAGAAUCCGCCUGCAAUGCAGGAGACCUGGGUUUUAAUCCCUGGGUUGGGAAGAUCCCCUGGAGAAGGAAAUGGCUACCUACUCCAGUAUUCUUCCUGGAGAAUCCCAUGGGUGGAGGAGCCUGAUGGGCUACAGUCCAGUUCAGUUCAGUUGCUCUGUCGUGUCUGACUCUUUGCGACCCCGUGGACCACAGCACACCAGGCCUCCCUGUCCAUCACCAACUCCCAGAAUUUACUCAAACUCAUGUCCAUUGAGU